AAUUUGUUUUAAACCGCCCUGCGUUAUUUCUCUGGAGGAAAACUCGCCAUGAUAUUCCAGCAUUGUUUCUCUGAUGCGUCUGAGUUAAAAAGCAGAGUGUUACCGGAGAUUUGAGUCAGCGGUGCGGUGCCUGUGCCGUAGCCCUUCUCCGCGUACACCUGCCGGGUGUCGGCGCAGCUCCUCCCCGCAGCAGCCACGGGGCUCCGGGUCCCCGACAGCGCGCACACCGCGCAGAGCAGCACCAGCAGCGGGUACCUGGGCAGAGAUAGUCCGGUGUCCAUCCUCACGAAGCGACGGCGGGUUUAUAUCAAACCAGACAGCAGCUUUGUAAAUAAAUGACUAAAUGAAUGAAUGAAUGAAUGUGUGGCCGGUUUAGAUUCACGCAAAAGUAAAAAAGUAACAGUUUCCCGUCAGUUGUUUAAAACAGUCAUAAUUUUCCCCCUGAUGGAUCCGGACCGGAUUUCUUUUAUUUACAUCGCACGUAUGUUUCCAUCGACCGCGUCCAGUUGGUGUGUCCCUUCCUGGGAGAUCCGCUCCUGUAGGUAGAUGUGAGGGAUCCUGAACGAGGCACUCCCGUCCCCCACACACACUGAGUCAAGAGCCCGGGAGUGAGCAGCGCGACACCGGAAACACCGCUGGUUUCAGAAUAAAAGCAGAGGAAAGUUUAUUGGGAUUGCAACUCUUUCUGCAUAGUCUGACCAGGGCCGUGCAGAGACCUGCAGAGGGACAGGUGCUCAAAGUUAAGAUGGGCACAUGGAGAUGAAACGGUUAAUUGAUCGGUCAGUCAAAAGGAAAAUAACUGACAACUAGUUGAUAAGUGAUUUUUGUGUUUGAGUAACUUUUCAAACAAAAAAUGUAAAAUGUUCUUUGUUUCUUUCAGUUUUCAUCCUCUCUUCACGUGGCAUCUCUGCACUGCUGAAUGAAAUUUCAUGAUAAAUACAACAAUUACCACAAACAUAAAUAUACAGUUAAAACAUGCUCAUACAUACAACUACAAUGUUUUGUAAUCAUGUUCAGAUAUCUUUGCAUUGAAGUAUUUUAGAGAUCAAAAGGAAGAUUGAGCGCAGAUGUGGAGCUGAGGCAGGACCUGAAGGGAUUAUUCUUUUAGAAGGGCCAAAAAAUGGAAGCGCCACUGGAACAGGGUCAAGGAGCCAUAUCUGAUGUGUUUAUUCAGUCGCAAACAUGUUUCUUUUUCCCCCUGGAAAGUUGCCUGGGCAUGAAAUGUUGAAGCCUUACACUUAUCUUCCAAAUAAUUUUAAGUACCAUAUUCAGACAUUUUCUGUGCUGCACCAGACUUUUUGCAGAGACAGAAAGCAUACAAUAAGAACGUUAUACAAGUGUUACACAGUAAGAAUGAAGACAGAGGAUGUUGUUCACUGUACAGAUUUUUAA